rnacentral:rRNA from 1 species
CGGACGGGUGAGUAAUGUCUGGGAAACUGCCCAAUGGAGGGGGAUAACUACUGGAAACGGUAGCUAAUACCGCAUAACGUCGCAAGACCAAAGAGGGGGACCUUCGGGCCUCUUGCCAUCGGAUGUGCCCAGAUGGGAUUAGCUAGUAGGUGGGGUAACGGCUCACCUAGGCGACGAUCCCUAGCUGGUCUGAGAGGAUGACCAGCCACACUGGAACUGAGACACGGUCCAG